AUGAAUGCAUAUGAACAUAUGAAUAUUUACACAAAUAAGAACCAAGAAUUCAUGAUACUACUCAAUUCCAAACAUGGUAAACCAAGUUCUAAGCAACCCUUUACUCCACCAAACCGAAUUCGGGCAGCAGCUAUACGUAUGAAACAACAUUCAAACUCUCAAUACCAAACAUGUUUUAGCGCAAAAGGAAACAAUGAAAUAAUGCCACCCGAAUUACCUCCGCAAUUGAAACAAAUUGUUCAACAAAAAACCAAACAAAACUUCUUCCAAUCGAUUUAA